UGCCCAAGAGAUCGGGAUAACACCUGGAAACAGAUGCUAAUACCGGAUAACAACAGAUGAUGCCUAUCAACUGUUUAAAAGAUGGUUCUGCUAUCACUCUUGGAUGGACCUGCGGUGCAUUAGCUAGUUGGUAGGGUAACGGCCUACCAAGGCGAUGAUGCAUAGCCGAGUUGAGAGACUGAUCAGCCACAUUGGGACUGAGACACGGCCCAAACUCCUACGGGAGGCAGCAGCU
rnacentral:rRNA from 1 species